UUUUGAUUGUUGACAGACAUUGCGGGGACGGGGGAGGGAACUAACCAAAAAGUAACCCCUUUUCCCUUGAUUAAAGAGUGAUUUUUGACUAUUUAAUAGUUCUGUGUUUUUUCUAGUUGACAUUAAUGGAGGUCCCACCGAGAUCCGAAGUCCCUGCGGCCUGAGCCCACCUGCUGACAAGGACCCCGAGACUUGAGGUACCUCACACAACCCGUUUGGGGUUGGGUCAGGAGUCCGGUUAGCAAGGGCCAGGUAAGCGGCUCUCUCGGAGGUAGGACUCGCAUCUUGUGUUUGGGAGUCGCUCUUUAAUUAAGGGAUCCUUAGUCGAGCGUCUGCGGGGUACACAGCCGCAUUUGUUCAUAGCCACCUGGGCGCUAUUGAUCAUGGGUAACAGCUUGUCUGUUGUCCCAAAAUUUGGUGGGGGCGGUCAGCAGCCCAAAGAACCACCUAGAAGUACGGCCGCGAGUGACAUGGUUUCCAAGUAUGGACCUGAUGCAAGCAAGUACUUAGAGAAGUGGCAAGCGAUGACAAAGGCCAAUCGGAAGGUAAGCUGGCCAAGGUGGGGUUCACUUAAUGAGGAAAGGAUGUUGUUUCUGCAGUCUGUUUUAAGCGAAGCAGGUCGAGAAAUUGAAGGAGAUGAAAGAGAAGUCUUCACCCAAUGGCUCGCGGCGUACACCCAGAGAAAAUCCAGGUCAGAAGGAUCCGUAGAACGAGCAGUUAAAACACUGGGAGCAGAAGGAGAAAAGACCGACUGAACCCUAUUCUGCCGAAAAAGCAGGCGGGAGGCAAAGAGCCUGGAGAUGUCACUUUUGCCACCAGACCGGGCUCCAGGGUAAGAGGGAGAGACGCCAAGGUAAGUUUCAAUUCCACUCAGGAAAGUUCCCCCGAAAGGAA
rnacentral:lncRNA from 1 species